CCUACGGGUGGCAGCAGUGAGGAAUAUUGGUCAAUGGACGAGAGUCUGAACCAGCCAAGUAGCGUGAAGGAUGACUGCCCUAUGGGUUGUAAACUUCUUUUAUAUGGGAAUAAAACGUUCCACGUGUGGGAUUUUGUAUGUACCAUAUGAAUAAGGAUCGGCUAACUCCGUGCCAGCAGCCGCGGUAAUACGGAGGAUCCGAGCGUUAUCCGGAUUUAUUGGGUUUAAAGGGAGCGUAGGUGGAUUGUUAAGUCAGUUGUGAAAUGUUGCGGCUCAACCGUGAAAUUGCAGUUGAAACUGGUAGUCUAGAGUACAGUAGAGGUGGGCGGAAUGCGUGGUGUAGCGGUGAAAUGCUUAGAUAUCACGAAGAACUCCGAUUGCGAAGGCAGUUCACUGGACUGCAACUGACAUUGAGGCACGAAAGUGUGGGUAUCAAACAGGAUUAGAUACCCGGGUAGUC
rnacentral:rRNA from 1 species